UGCGUAGGUGGCAUGGUUAGUCGGGUGUGAAAUCCCGGGGCUCAACCCCGGAACUGCACUCGAUACUGCCGUGCUCGAGUACUGGAGAGGAGACUGGAAUUUACGGUGUAGCAGUGAAAUGCGUAGAUAUCGUAAGGAAGACCGGUGGCGAAAGCUAGUCUCUGGACAGUCACUGACACUGAGGCACGAAGGCCAGGGAGGCAAACG
rnacentral:rRNA from 1 species